GGAGAGGUGGCCGAGUCCGGUUGAAGGCACACGCCUCGAAAGCGUGCAUACCUUAACGGGUAUCGUGGGUUCAAAUCCCACCCUCUCCGCCA
rnacentral:tRNA from 1 species